UACGUAGGGUGCGAGCGUUGUCCGGAAUUAUUGGGCGUAAAGAGCUCGUAGGCGGCCUGUCGCGUCGGAUGUGAAAGCCCGGGGCUUAACCCCGGGUCUGCAUUCGAUACGGGCAGGCUAGAGUGUGGUAGGGGAGAUCGGAAUUCCUGGUGUAGCGGUGAAAUGCGUAGAUAUCGGGAGGAACACCAGUGGCGAAGGCGGUUGCCUGGAGCUUUGCUGACGCUGAGGCGCGAAAGCGUGGGGAGCGAUCCGG
rnacentral:rRNA from 1 species